rnacentral:rRNA from 1 species
AGUCGAGCGGAUGAGGGAGCUUGCUCCUGGAUUCAGCGGCGGACGGGUGAGUAAUGCCUAGGAAUCUGCCUGGUAGUGGGGGACAACGUUUCGAAAGGAACGCUAAUACCGCAUACGUCCUACGGGAGAAAGCAGGGGACCUUCGGGCCUUGCGCUAUCAGAUGAGCCUAGGUCGGAUUAGCUAGUUGGUGAGGUAAUGGCUCACCAAGGCGACGAUCCGUAACUGGUCUGAGAGGAUGAUCAGUCACACUGGAACUGAGACACGGUCCAGACUCCUACGGGAGGCAGCAGUGGGGAAUAUUGGACAAUGGGCGAAAGCCUGAUCCAGCCAUGCCGCGUGUGUGAAGAAGGUCUUCGGAUUGUAAAGCACUUUAAGUUGGGAGGAAGGGUUGUAGAUUAAUACUCUGCAAUUUUGACGUUACCGACAGAAUAAGCACCGGCUAACUCUGUGCCAGCAGCCGCGGUAAUACAGAGGGUGCAAGCGUUAAUCGGAAUUACUGGGCGUAAAGCGCGCGUAGGUGGUUCGU